CCCUUGACCGAGUCUGACGCUUGUGCGGUGCGAGAACACGAAGAGCUCCAUUAGUCUCAUAGCUUCAGUGCAAAACUAAAGAAGCGAACUUCACACACUUAAGCGAUUCACUACACGGUGCACAUUUCAUUUAUUCUUUAAUAACCAAAAAAAACGAAAAACUCAUUAAUGACAAUACAGGUUUGUAAUGUUUAAUCACUUUAAUAUUAAUAUUACGGAAUCCACACGUUCAUGAUUACACUACUUACAUGGUGCUAAUGUUUAGUAUUUAUAAAUGUCUCAAUACUACAUACUGCACACACUGAUUUAUGUCACGCUUCUCCAUCAACAUACACGUUUCUCUCUUAACCCUGGAUUUUUAAUAACGUUAAAUCAUUUGCAGACAAAUACAACAACAAUGUACGAUCUGCUGACCAGCUACGAGACACGCUGAGGAAUUAAUAAGCAAAUAAAAGGUUUAAGAAUAAAAGAGUCUGUUGUGAAUCCGUCUUCAUAUCAGCUCCAAAACACACUGAGGACUCGACUCAAGCCCAGAACUGUAGGAGAGAGAGAGAGAGUAGGUAACCAGGUUAUGAUGGGAUGUAUCCCGUGACAAGACUAAAACAAGCCUCAGCGCGUCACUGAUCCACCGCCGGAUUGAACACUGGGUUUGGGGGAUGUUUCCGUGUACUCGGCUUCUUUAAUCGACAAAUAUGCUGACGGCCAAAAAAGAUUGAACACAAAACCACCAAAAGAUGACUGAUCGUAUCUCUAAUUUAUGUAGAACAUGUGGGGAUUUUCAGGCUGUGUAUUGUGGAACAUGUCUUGUGGAAAGUCCUGCCUGGGUUCAUAGGAAUGACUGGUUCCUCACCCGUAGUGUGUUGUCCCAUGAUGCUGAGCAGAACGCGGUAC